UCCUGACUGGUGUGAACUAUGAUG
rnacentral:piRNA from 1 species